CCUGUCACCCUGGAAAGCUUAGGCCUUCCUCAGCUCCCUGUCCAGAAGGAGAACACCAAAACCCCUUUUCAGGAUGGGCAUUAUCCGUCCCACCUCAGCUGGAAAACGGGACCUUGUUGCUUCUCUAGGAGCUGCCUGAUAUGUCCUUGCCAAAUGAAUCAAUAGGUUUAGACUGAUAACCAUGGACAUAUCAAAUCAAGGUGGAAAAGGAAGUCUGCAUAGUGUAAUGUCUGAUAUGAAGUUCUAAUGACUACACCCACUUCUGAAGGCCUCUGACAUCUACGAGCCUGUUCUUUUGUAACCUAACAGAACUCUUCAUGAAACAGCAGAUCUCUGGCUUCCAAGACACCAUCAAUGCUGGACCCUCA
rnacentral:lncRNA from 1 species